UACGGAGGAUCCAAGCGUUAUCCGGAAUCAUUGGGUUUAAAGGGUCCGUAGGCGGUUUUGUAAGUCAGUGGUGAAAGCCCAUCGCUCAACGGUGGAACGGCCAUUGAUACUGCAAGACUUGAAUUAUUGGGAAGUAACUAGAAUAUGUAGUGUAGCGGUGAAAUGCUUAGAUAUUACAUGGAAUACCAAUUGCGAAGGCAGGUUACUACCAAUAUAUUGACGCUGAUGGACGAAAGCGUGGGGAGCGAACAGG
rnacentral:rRNA from 1 species